rnacentral:rRNA from 1 species
UCGGGAAACCGGAGCUAAUACCGGAUAACAUUUAGAACCGCAUGGUUCUAAAGUGAAAGAUGGUUUUGCUAUCACUUAUAGAUGGACCCGCGCCGUAUUAGCUAGUUGGUAAGGUAACGGCUUACCAAGGCGACGAUACGUAGCCGACCUGAGAGGGUGAUCGGCCACACUGGAACUGAGACACGGUCCAGACUCCUACGGGAGGCAGCAGUAGGGAAUCUUCCGCAAUGGGCGAAAGCCUGACGGAGCAACGCCGCGUGAGUGAUGAAGGGUUUCGGCUCGUAAAACUCUGUUAUUAGGGAAGAACAAAUGUGUAAGUAACUGUGCACAUCUUGACGGUACCUAAUCAGAAAGCCACGGCUAACUACGUGCCAGCAGCCGCGGUAAUACGUAGGUGGCAAGCGUUAUCCGGAAUUAUUGGGCGUAAAGCGCGCGUAGGCGGUUUCUUAAGUCUGAUGUGAAAGCCCACGGCUCAACCGUGGAGGGUCAUUGGAAACUGGGAAACUUGAGUGCAGAAGAGGAAAGUGGAAUUCCAUGUGUAGCGGUGAAAUGCGC